rnacentral:lncRNA from 1 species
AGUUUAAAACAUUAGAAUCUGAAUCCUGGACAGAUUCAAACCUUGACACACUGUGGGAUUUUUCUUUUGCUUUUUGUCCUGUUUUUUCUUUCUUAUGAUCUUGACCCCCCCCUCCCCCACCCUUCAUUGUGACAUUUGGUGUGUUAACUUUAAAAUGUAGUUUUAAAUAAAGUUUGAACUUAUCUGUAAAGUAUGCUUUUGGGAAAUGUUGUUGAAUUCUAUGCAGCAAAUUGCUGUUUUUGUAACAACACUAUUCAGAAACAGCAGUGGUCAAAAAUUUGAGAAAUUCUUAUUUCCUCUAAUUCUUAUUUAUUCUAAAGCUCUGCCUUAGACCAGUCUUUCAAAUAAUGUUAGUGUUGCUGCUGUUAGGUCUGAUGUUCUUGUAGUUCCUGCUCUUGUGUGCGAAUAAAGCAGAUGAAUCUCAGUGGUCUUAGAACAUGUUAAUAACUCAGACUGUAUACACAGUUCAGACAUUGUUAGUAACUAGAAUUUAACAGGAUUAUCUAUUAGAUUAAUAUUUUUCAGAAUUUAAAAUGUUGCCUCAUUCUAAAAAUUAAAAAAAAAGCUUUAUAUGUAUUUCUGUACAGACAAGUAGCAUUCUAAUUAAUUAAAAAAAAAAAACAAACUCUUUCAAGUUAGGAUAAAUAGAACUAAAUUUAUGUAACAGAACACUAAGAUUUUUAAUGCCUAUGGACAAAACAUGCCUUUUGAGAUGAUAAUUUAAAACCAAAGCCUAAUAGUUGUUUUUGUGUGUUUUGAGAGAGAAGCAAGUUCAAGUGUUAAGAACGUCUCUGUGAGUUUUUCAUCACUAAGUAAACCAACUCUUAAAAAGUGCUUUGCCUUCUGAGUCUGUCUACACUUACCACUUCCUAUAAUAUUGCAGAGCCAGUUAACCAUGAAUAAUCUGUCAGUCUUAGAGAUUUAUACUUGAAAAAGUAAUAGUGUGAAGGACUAAUUGUUCAUUCCAAGUAUUUGCUUAAAUUUUUAAGUAGUUGUCUGUAAUACUCUAUAAGAACUUAUUUGGUAUUCCUUUAAAAUUUUCACUUGCAGCUGGGCAGUAGUGACACGCCUUUAAUCCCAGCACUCCAGAGGCAGAAGCUGUUUGAUCAGAGUUCGAGGCCAGCCUUGUUUACAGAUUGAAUCCUAGGACAGCUGAUGUUACAUAAAGAAACCAUAUCUCAAAAACAAAAUAAGAUUCUCACUUACUUGAUAGCUUAAUAUAAAUGUCCAGUCAGUAAAUAACAAAUGAUGGUUUUCUCUGAGGACUUUUGUAUUGUUACUUAAUUUAAACUAGGACCAUAUUUCUCAACCUUCAUUAAAAUUUGCAAAACUUCUAAUCUAGAAUUUACCCAGCUGGACGGACUUCAGGGACAUUAGAACAGUAAUUUAUAUUAUAUGUACAAACAAGUUGUGUAUUUUCCAGGCGCAAAACAAGAAACUCCAUUUUAAUCCUCAGGCCAGGCUUACAUAGUGCAGUGCGUUGUUCUCCCUCCCUUUCCUGCUUUGUGUCUUUGCAUGCAUACAGUGGAGGGCUGUAUUUGAUGUUCGCUACUACCAUAGCAUCUGUGAGCUUUAUCAAACUAGUUUAUUUGACUUAUGUCCUACCUGCUAUCUCCAAUUUGUUGUUUUCAUAUUUUAGUGGAUAAUUUAGUUUAAAAUACCCAGAGAUUGGGAACAUGCAACCGUGUAACGUGAUUUUUCUAGUAAGUAUCGCUCAGAAGGAAGUUAUAGUAUUUCUGUUUGUAUUAAUUUGUAAGUUAAAACUUUGGUUAGU